rnacentral:rRNA from 1 species
UACGUAGGGUGCAAGCGUUGUCCGGAAUUAUUGGGCGUAAAGAGCUCGUAGGUGGCCUGUCGCGUCGGCUGUGAAACUCGGGCUCAACUCCGAGCUUGCAGUCGAUACGGGCAGGCUAGAGUUCGGCAGGGGAGACUGGAAUUCCUGGUGUAGCGGUGAAAUGCGCAGAUAUCAGGAGGAACACCGGUGGCGAAGGCGGUCUCUGGGCCGAUACUGACGCUGAGGAGCGAAAGCGUGGGGAGCGAACAGG